rnacentral:rRNA from 1 species
GACGAACGCUGGCGGCGUGCUUAACACAUGCAAGUCGAACGAUGAACCCGGAGCUUGCUCCGGUGGAUUAGUGGCGAACGGGUGAGUAACACGUGAGUAACCUGCCCUUGACUCUGGGAUAACUGCGGGAAACUGUAGCUAAUACCGGAUACGACCUUCGGCGGCAUCGCCAGGGGGUGGAAAGAAUUUCGGUGAGGGAUGGGCCCGCGGCCUAUCAGCUUGUUGGUGAGGUAGUGGCUCACCAAGGCGACGACGGGUAGCCGGCCUGAGAGGGCGACCGGCCACACUGGGACUGAGACACGGCCCAGACUCCUACGGGAGGCAGCAGUGGGGAAUAUUGCGCAAUGGGCGAAAGCCUGACGCAGCAACGCCGCGUGCGGGAUGACGGCCUUCGGGUUGUAAACCGCUUUCAGCAGGGAAGAAGCCGCAAGGUGACGGUACCUGCAGAAGAAGCACCGGCUAACUACGUGCCAGCAGCCGCCGUAA